UACGUAGGCAGCGAGCGUUGUUCGGAAUUACUGGGCGUAAAGAGUGUGUAGGCGGUGCUCUAAGUCUGUCGUGAAAUCUCCCGGCUUAACCGGGAGGCUGCGGCGGAAACUGGUGUGCUAGAGGGUGGGAGAGGUAAGCGGAAUUCCUGGUGUAGCGGUGGAAUGCGCAGAUAUCGGGAGGAACACCGGUGGCGAAGGCGGUUCUCUGGGCCUUGACC
rnacentral:rRNA from 1 species